rnacentral:rRNA from 1 species
GACGAACGCUGGCGGCGUGCUUAACACAUGCAAGUCGAGCGGUAAGGCCCUUUCGGGGGUACACGAGCGGCGAACGGGUGAGUAACACGUGGGUGACCUGCCCUCAGCUCUGGGAUAAGCCCGGGAAACUGGGUCUAAUACCGGAUAUGACCUCAUGACGCAUGUUGUGGGUGGAAAGCUUUUGCGGCUGGAGAUGGGCCCGCGGCCUAUCAGCUUGUUGGUGGGGUGAUGGCCUACCAAGGCGACGACGGGUAGCCGGCCUGAGAGGGCGACCGGCCACACUGGGACUGAGAUACGGCCCAGACUCCUACGGGAGGCAGCAGUGGGGAAUCUUGCGCAAUGGGCGAAAGCCUGACGCAGCGACGCCGCGUGA